rnacentral:rRNA from 1 species
AUUGAACGCUGGCGGCAGGCCUAACACAUGCAAGUCGAACGCGUGGCGGACGGGUGAGUAAUGUCUGGGAAACUGCCUGAUGGAGGGUGCUAACUACUGGAAACGGUCGCUAAUACCGCAUCCCAUCGGAUGUGCCCAGAUGGGAUUAGCUAGUAGGUGGGGUAAAGGCUCACCUAGGCGACGAACCCUAGCUGGUCUGAGAGGAUGAACAGCCACCCUGGAACUGGGACGCGGCCCAAACUACUACGGGAGGCAGAAGUAGGUAAUAAUGCACAAUGGGCGCAAGCCGAAUGCAGCCAUGCCGCGGGUAGGAAGAAGGCCUUCGGGUUGUAAAGUACUUUCAGCGGGGAGGCGUUACCCGCAGAAGAAGCACCGGCUAACUCCGUGCCAGCAGCCGCGGUAAUAC